UCCCUUCCCCCACACAAAUUCAGUCUGUUUCGGAAUCUAAUAAUUGUGUUACCAAAUAUUCUUAUCUUCAUUUUAAUUGCGAGCCAACAAAACAUUUGAAAAUUGAUGCCUUCAAUUUUGAAAUCUAUGGAGCUUAGUCUUGGGUGUUUAGUUUAAAGUGCUUGGUCUAGCCUACUUCACACAAGAAGCAUCGAAGUUUGUACACAUUUGAGAAAUCAGUUUGUCUCUUUAGCAAGUGUCUCAGAGUUUGCCUUACACUUAAGCAAGCCAUAGCCAUUGCCCUUUUAACAUCUGAUAUCUUAUAUUAAAAAUCAGAGAUUAUUGAAUACUUUGUUAUAUUGUUUUUGUUGUAUUUUUUUUCCUCCACUUUUUUUAGUACAAGAAAACUAAAUUAGGCUGAAUCAUAUUUCUUUUGUAGGUCCGCAAUAAGUUGACUAUCAAUUUCCAUUCUACAAAGCAUUUCUAAUCAGUUUCACUAACCAUCUAGGAGGACAAAGCAGGCAAGACAAACUCUGAAAGCCAGAUACGAUAUUGCAGAUUGCAUUUUCUUUUCAUUUGAUCUGGUAGAUAAGCUUGCUAGAAACCCGUCCUAGGUAGGGAAUCCUUGCACAACCUCGCUUGCUGGCUGUACAUAAUCUUUGAAUUUGGACAAUGACAGCUCUAGCUAUGGCCAUCAACAGAAGCAAACUCAUCACUCAAAGACUAGUUUCUCUUUAAUCUAUUGCUGGAUUUUACUUGUUCUACAUUUCUAAUAUUUAUAUUACGUGUGCAAGUCAUCCUCAGGUGUAGGGCUCUUGAUUGUAUUGUGAAUUCCAUUCUGGGUUCUUUGGCAACUUGUAAUUUAUUAAACAGAAGUCUAUAGAAAAGGACUAGUGCAUUUGCUUUC